GAUGAACGCUGGCGGCGUGCCUAAUACAUGCAAGUCGAGCGAACGGACGAGAAGCUUGCUUCUCUGAUGUUAGCGGCGGACGGGUGAGUAACACGUGGAUAACCUACCUAUAAGACUGGGAUAACUUCGGGAAACCGGAGCUAAUACCGGAUAAUAUUUUGAACCGCAUGGUUCAAAAGUGAAAGACGGUCUUGCUGUCACUUAUAGAUGGAUCCGCGCUGCAUUAGCUAGUUGGUAAGGUAACGGCUUACCAAGGCAACGAUGCAUAGCCGACCUGAGAGGGUGAUCGGCCACACUGGAACUGAGACACGGUCCAGACUCCUACGGGAGGCAGCAGUAGGGAAUCUUCCGCAAUGGGCGAAAGCCUGACGGAGCAACGCUGCGUGAGUGAUGAAGGUCUUCGGAUCGUAAAACUCUGUUAUUAGGGAAGAACAUAUGUGUAAGUAACUGUGCACAUCUUGACGGUACCUAAUCAGAAAGCCACGGCUAACUACGUG
rnacentral:rRNA from 1 species